CACGUAGGGUGCGAGCGUUGUCCGGAAUUAUUGGGCGUAAAGAGCUCGUAGGCGGUGUGUCGCGUCGGCCGUGAAAACCUGCAGCUUAACUGUGGGCUUGCGGUCGAUACGGGCAUCACUGGAGUUCGGCAGGGGAGACUGGAAUUCCUGGUGUAGCGGUGAAAUGCGCAGAUAUCAGGAGGAACCACCGGUGGCGAAGGCGGCCCACUGGA
rnacentral:rRNA from 1 species